rnacentral:lncRNA from 1 species
GGGUCCGUCUGUUGGGAAGGGAUUAGCAUACUCACCAGGGCUUUGGACAGUCAAAGGGCAGUAUGAAAAUAUUUGAGCAUCUGGGGAAGACACUGAAAGAAGAGACAGGUGAUUACAGCCUUUCUCAGCUGAGAGAGAACAACAGUAGCUGUACCUACGAUGAAGAGGAAAUGCUACAGAGAUUGGCCUUGCAGUUGAGACGCACUGGAGAUGGAAUCAACAAUAGAGUGCUUCAAGAGGGCCUUCAAUUAGAAGACGUCAGAGACACAGUGGCUCAUUUUGUCUUAUUUUUGCUUAGGAAAGCUCAUUUGGUUUUGAGCUAUUUUUUGGCUAACCAUCCAAUGUAGAACAAAACUUUAAAUUUAAGCUAUUUGUUUUCUCUCUGCUUUUUGAGACACACAAGUUCCCCUUAUUGAACUAUAAAGUCCUGAGGAUAAACACCGCACCUCAUUGAUCUUCCUGUCUCCCUGGGUGGUUUAUACCUAGUAGGUACAGAGCAAAGUGGUAGAAUGGUAUGAAGGCUGGAAGUGGAGUCAAAUCUCAGCUCAAAAUCUGGCUGUGACAGUUACUGGCCAUGGGACCCGGAGAAAGUCACUUAAGUUCACUGAAUCUGUUUCUAUGUCAAUAAAAUGAGACUAAUUAUAAUGCUUAUACUACUG